AAUCCAUAGGUUAAUGAGGCGAACCGGGGGAACUGAAACAUCUAAGUACCCCGAGGAAAAGAAAUCAACCGAGAUUCCCCCAGUAGCGGCGAGCGAACGGGGAGGAGCCCAGAGCCUGAAUCAGCAUGUGUGUUAGUGGAAGCGUCUGGAAAGGCGCGCGAUACAGGGUGACAGCCCCGUACACAAAAGCGCAUGUGCUGUGAGCUCGAUGAGUAGGGCGGGACACGUGGUAUCCUGUCUGAAUAUGGGGGGACCAUCCUCCAAGGCUAAAUACUCCUGACUGACCGAUAGUGAACCAGUACCGUGAGGGAAAGGCGAAAAGAACCCCGGCGAGGGGAGUGAAAAAGAACCUGAAACCGUGUACGUACAAGCAGUGGGAGCACCCUUCGGGGUGUGACUGCGUACCUUUUGUAUAAUGGGUCAGCGACUUAUAUUCUGUAGCAAGGUUAACCGUAUAGGGGAGCCGGAGGGAAACCGAGUCUUAAUUGGGCGUUAAGUUGCAGGGUAUAGACCCGAAACCCGGUGAUCUAGCCAUGGGCAGGUUGAAGGUUGGGUAACACUAACUGGAGGACCGAACCGACUAAUGUUGAAAAAUUAGCGGAUGACCUGUGGCUGGGGGUGAAAGGCCAAUCAAACCGGGAGAUAGCUGGUUCUCCCCGAAAGCUAUUUAGGUAGCGCCUCGUGAAUUCAUCUCCGGGGGUAGAGCACUGUUUCGGCUAGGGGGCCAUCCCGGCUUACCAACCCGAUGCAAACUGCGAAUACCGGAGAAUGUUAUCACGGGAGACACACGGCGGGUGCUAACGUCCGUCGUGAAGAGGGAAACAACCCAGACCGCCAGCUAAGGUCCCAAAGUCAUGGUUAAGUGGGAAACGAUGUGGGAAGGCCCAGACAGCCAGGAUGUUGGCUUAGAAGCAGCCAUCAUUUAAAGAAAGCGUAAUAGCUCACUGGUCGAGUCGGCCUGCGCGGAAGAUGUAACGGGGCUAAACCAUGCACCGAAGCUGCGGCAGCGAACGUAUCACCCAAGACAACUUUACGGAGUUGACGAUUGACGGAGCGAAGCGACGUCAAAGCGUUCAUUAAAGUCGAGUUGGCUUAGGGAUACGUUCGUUGGGUAGGGGAGCGUUCUGUAAGCCUGUGAAGGUGUGUCGUGAGGCAUGCUGGAGGUAUCAGAAGUGCGAAUGCUGACAUAAGUAACGAUAAAGCGGGUGAAAAGCCCGCUCGCCGGAAGACCAAGGGUUCCUGUCCAACGUUAAUCGGGGCAGGGUGAGUCGACCCCUAAGGCGAGGCCGAAAGGCGUAGUCGAUGGGAAACGGGUUAAUAUUCCCGUACUUGGUGUUACUGCGAAGGGGGGACGGAGAAGGCUAUGUUGGCCGGGCGACGGUUGUCCCGGUUUAAGCGUGUAGGUGUGUGUUCCAGGUAAAUCCGGUUCACUUUAACACUGAGGCGUGACGACGAGGCACUACGGUGCUGAAGCAACAAAUGCCCUGCUUCCAGGAAAAGCCUCUAAGCAUCAGGUAACACGAAAUCGUACCCCAAACCGACACAGGUGGUCAGGUAGAGAAUACCAAGGCGCUUGAGAGAACUCGGGUGAAGGAACUAGGCAAAAUGGUGCCGUAACUUCGGGAGAAGGCACGCUGACACGUAGGUGAAGUGAUUUACUCAUGGAGCUGAAGUCAGUCGAAGAUACCAGCUGGCUGCAACUGUUUAUUAAAAACACAGCACUGUGCAAACACGAAAGUGGACGUAUACGGUGUGACGCCUGCCCGGUGCCGGAAGGUUAAUUGAUGGGGUCAGCGCAAGCGAAGCUCCUGAUCGAAGCCCCGGUAAACGGCGGCCGUAACUAUAACGGUCCUAAGGUAGCGAAAUUCCUUGUCGGGUAAGUUCCGACCUGCACGAAUGGCGUAAUGAUGGCCAGGCUGUCUCCACCCGAGACUCAGUGAAAUUGAACUCGCUGUGAAGAUGCAGUGUACCCGCGGCAAGACGGAAAGACCCCGUGAACCUUUACUAUAGCUUGACACUGAACAUUGAGCCUUGAUGUGUAGGAUAGGUGGGAGGCUUUGAAGUGUGGACGCCAGUCUGCAUGGAGCCGACCUUGAAAUACCACCCUUUAAUGUUUGAUGUUCUAACGUGGACCCGUAAUCCGGGUUGCGGACAGUGUCUGGUGGGUAGUUUGACUGGGGCGGUCUCCUCCUAAAGAGUAACGGAGGAGCACGAAGGUUGGCUAAUCCUGGUCGGACAUCAGGAGGUUAGUGCAAUGGCAUAAGCCAGCUUGACUGCGAGCGUGACGGCGCGAGCAGGUGCGAAAGCAGGUCAUAGUGAUCCGGUGGUUCUGAAUGGAAGGGCCAUCGCUCAACGGAUAAAAGGUACUCCGGGGAUAACAGGCUGAUACCGCCCAAGAGUUCAUAUCGACGGCGGUGUUUGGCACCUCGAUGUCGGCUCAUCACAUCCUGGGGCUGAAGUAGGUCCCAAGGGUAUGGCUGUUCGCCAUUUAAAGUGGUACGCGAGCUGGGUUUAGAACGUCGUGAGACAGUUCGGUCCCUAUCUGCCGUGGGCGCUGGAGAACUGAGGGGGGCUGCUCCUAGUACGAGAGGACCGGAGUGGACGCAUCACUGGUGUUCGGGUUGUCAUGCCAAUGGCACUGCCCGGUAGCUAAAUGCGGAAGAGAUAAGUGCUGAAAGCAUCUAAGCACGAAACUUGCCCCGAGAUGAGUUCUCCCUGAGACUUAAAGUCUCCUGAAGGAACGUUGAAGACGACGACGUUGAUAGGCCGGGUGUGUAAGCGCAGCGAUGCGUUGAGCUAACCGGUACU
rnacentral:rRNA from 1 species